CCCUUAGAUGUUCUGGGCCGCACGCGCGCUACACUGAUGCAUUCAACGAGUUUCUUCCUGGUCCGAGAGGAAUGGGUAACCUUUUGAAAGUGCAUCGUGAUAGGGAUAGACUAUUGCAAUUAUUGGUCUUCAACGAGGAAUUCCUAGUAGACGUAGUUCAUCAGACUGCAUCGAUUGCGUCCCUGCCCUUUGUACACACCGCCCGUCGCUCCUACCGAUUGAAUGCUCAGGUGAGCCAUUCGGACUUUCAUCAUGCUGGUUUCCAGUUUUGAUGAAGGAAAGUCUUGCGAACCUUAUCAUUUAGAGGAAGGAGAAGUCGUAACA
rnacentral:rRNA from 1 species